rnacentral:rRNA from 1 species
GGCGGACGGGUGAGUAAUACUUAGGAAUCUGCCCAGUAGUGGGGGACAACUCGAGGAAACUCGAGCUAAUACCGCAUACGCCCUAAGGGGGAAAGCGGGGGAUCUUCGGACCUCGCGCUAUUGGAUGAGCCUAAGUCGGAUUAGCUUGUUGGUAGGGUAACGGCCUACCAAGGCGACGAUCCGUAGCUGGUCUGAGAGGACGAUCAGCCACACUGGGACUGAGACACGGCCCAGACACCUACGGGAGGCAGCAGUGGGGAAUAUUGGACAAUGGGCGCAAGCCUGAUCCAGCAAUGCCGCGUGUGUGAAGAAGGCCUGCGGGUUGUAAAGCACUUUCAGUAGAGAAGAAAAGCUUAAGGUUAAUACCCUUGAGUCUUGACGUAACCUACAGAAGAAGCACCGGCUAACUCCGUGCCAGCAGCCGCGGUAAUACGGAGGGUGCAAGCGUUAAUCGGAAUUACUGGGCGUAAAGCGCGCGUAGGCGGUUUUGUAAGUCGGAUGUGAAAGCCCAGGGCUUAACCCUGGAAUUGCAUUCGAUACUGCUUAACUAGAGUAUGGUAGAGGGAAGUGGAAUUUC